UGGGGAAUAUUGCACAAUGGGCGCAAGCCUGAUGCAGCAACGCCGCGUGAGGGAUGACGGCCUUCGGGUUGUAAACCUCUUUUAGCAGGGAAGAAGCGAAAGUGACGGUACCUGCAGAAAAAGCGCCGGCUAACUACGUGCCAGCAGCCGCGGUAAUACGUAGGGCGCAAGCGUUAUCCGGAAUUAUUGGGCGUAAAGAGCUCGUAGGCGGUUUGUCGCGUCUGCUGUGAAAUCCCGAGGCUCAACCUCGGGUCUGCAGUGGGUACGGGCAGACUAGAGUGCGGUAGGGGAGAUUGGAAUUCCUGGUGUAGCGGUGGAAUGCGCAGAUAUCAGGAGGAACACCGAUGGCGAAGGCAGAUCUCUGGGCCGUAACUGACGCUGAGGAGCGAAAGGGUGGGGAGCAAACAGGCUUAGAUACCCUGGUAGUCCACCCCGUAAACGUUGGGAACUAGUUGUGGGGUCCAUUCCACGGAUUCCGUGACGCAGCUAACGCAUUAAGUUCCCCGCCUGGGGAGUACGGCCGCAAGGCUAAAACUUAAAUGAAUUGACGGGGUCAUAGCUGUUUCCU
rnacentral:rRNA from 1 species